rnacentral:lncRNA from 10 species
CUCACAGAGCCUAUGGUGGGAGUGAGACAAAUGGGUUGACAGGUGCCCACAUGGUUGCCAGGCACAUUUCAGAGAGCAGGUGUAUGCUGCUCAGGCAGCCAAAGGGCCUCACCUGGCCAAGGUGGGCCACAAGGCAGCCCAGAGGAGGUGGCUUCAAACCAAGUCCUGGAGGACAAGCAGGAGCCAGCUCUAACUCUAGUAUGGGUGUGAAGAUGGGCUGUCUCCAAUGGCGUUAUUCGGCAGGCACUCUGAAGUGCUUCCCCAAACCCUGUUGUCCACUUUCCUGGACUUGAGUAAUGGUGCUACUAGUGGCUUUAUUUGAUCUUCAUUAAAUUUGGGAAUUGUUCUUACCAACUC